rnacentral:misc_RNA from 1 species
GAUGAAGAACGUAGCAAAAUGCGAUAAGUAAUGUGAAUUGCAGAAUUCAGUGAAUCAUCGAAUCUUUGAAUGCACAUUGCGCCCGCUGGUAUUCCGGCGGGCAUGCCUGUUCGAGCGUCAUUUCAACCCUCAAGCCCCCGGGUUUGGUGUUGGGGAUCGGCUCUGCCCUUCUGGGCGGUGCCGCCCCCGAAAUACAUUGGCGGUCUCGCUGCAGCCUCCAUUGCGUAGUAGCUAACACCUCGCAACUGGAACGCGGCGCGGCCAUGCCGUAAAACCCCAACUUCUGAAUGUUGACCUCGGAUCAGGUAGGAAUACCCGCUGAACUUAAGCAUAUCAAUAAGCGGAGGA